UGGGGAAUUUUGCACAAUGGGGGAAACCCUGAUGCAGCGACGCCGCGUGAUUUAGAAGGCCUUCGGGUUGUAAAAAUCUUUUUUAUGGGAUGAAAAUGACAGUACCAUAAGAAUAAGGUCCGGCUAAAGACGUGCCAGCAGCCGCGGUAAUACGUAUGGACCGAGCGUUGUCCGGAAUCAUUGGGCGUAAAGGGUACGUAGGCGGCCCAGUAAGUUAGAAGUGAAAUAAUAUAGCUCAACUAUAUAAAGCUUUUAAAACUGCUAGGCUUGAGAGAUGGAAGGGAAAGUGGAAUUCCUAGUGUAGCGGUGAAAUGCGCAGAUAUUAGGAAGAAUACCGGUGGCGAAGGCGACUUUCUGGUCAUCAUCUGACGCUGAGGUACGAAAGCGUGGGUAGCAAACAGG
rnacentral:rRNA from 1 species